rnacentral:rRNA from 1 species
CAAUAGCGUAUAUUUAAGUUGUUGCAGUUAAAAAGCUCGUAGUUGGAUUUCGGAUGGGAUUUGCCGGUCCGUCGUUACGAUGUGCACUGGCCGGUCCUAUCUUGUUGUCGGGGACCAGCUCCUGGGCUUCACUGUCCGGGACUGGGAGCCGACGAAGUUACUUUGAGUAAAUUAGAGUGUUCAAAGCAAGCCUACGCUCUGAAUAUAUUAGCAUGGAAUAACACGAUAGGACUCUGGCUUAUCUUGUUGGUCUGUGAGACCAGAGUAAUGAUUAAGAGGGACAGUCGGGGACAUUCGUAUUUCAUUGUCAGAGGUGAAAUUCUUGGAUUUAUGAAAGACGAACUUCUGCGAAAGCAUUUGUCAAGGAUGUUUNCAUUA